GCGUCAGGACAAGUUUAUAAUUUUAUGUACUAUGUAAACGCUGUGUAAUGUGUUUGAUGGGCGCGCGCGUUGAACAUUCGACGCGCAUUUAAACUGGAGUGGAGGGAGUUACCAUGGAAACGGGGCGGCAACACAGCUGACAAGUAGCGAAUCUCUCCGUCUCUCACUGAUGUUUUUACUGCUUUCAGAAAUGGUUCAGUGUCAUGGGAAUAAGUCCGUUAGCAUCACAACCGUGAGCUAACAGAGGCUAACUAUAAGAGCAGAGUUGGAGUGGACCUCUUGUUGAAGAACUUCUCCAGGCACUAUGAACCAUCUGACUAAUGCUGUCAUGAAACGCCAUGAAAAGGCAACUGCUGGACACCUGGGACAGGCCAUCAAUUCCAAGUUGGCGUCAAUUCCCUGUUAGAGUUUAGAGUUGUCUAAUAGAGAGGGUGAAGGAAGAACAUCCAAACCCUGCCCCUGCUUCCUUCAAGAUUUUUUAUGGAUUUAUAUAAUGGUGUUUUUUCGUAAAGUAAAG